rnacentral:rRNA from 1 species
CCUACGGGUGGCAGCAGUAGGGAAUCUUCCACAAUGGGCGAAAGCCUGAUGGAGCAACGCCGCGUGGGUGAAGAAGGUCUUCGGAUCGUAAAACCCUGUUGUUAGAGAAGAAAGUGCGUGAGAGUAACUGUUCACGUUUCGACGGUAUCUAACCAGAAAGCCACGGCUAACUACGUGCCAGCAGCCGCGGUAAUACGUAGGUGGCAAGCGUUAUCCGGUUUUAUUGGGCGUAAAGGGAACGCAGGCGGUCCUUUAAGUCUGAUGUGAAAGUCUUCGGCUUAACCGGAGUAGUGCAUUGGAAACUGGGAGACUUGAGUGCAGGAGAGGAGAGUGGAACUCGAGGUGUAGCGGUGAAAGGCGUAGAUAUAAGGAAGAACACCAGUGGCGAAAGCGGCGCUCUGGUCUGUAACUGACGCUGAGGUUCGAAAGCGUGGGUAGCAAACAGGAUUAGAUACCCGGGUAGUC